GGCCUUGUGGUCCAGAGGCACGAUACUUGCUUUGGGACAAAUGUAGGCAACUGCAAGUGACCUGGGUUCGAUUCCCGGCAAGGCCC